GCUGGCGGCACGCCUUAUACAUGCAAGUCGAACGAAGUAGCAAUACUUAGUGGCAGACGGGUGAGUAACAUGUAGGUAUCUUCCCUUUGGUGAGGAAUAACACGAGGAAACUUGUGCUAAUACCUCAUAAGUCUUUACGGAGAAAGCUUUAUGCGCCGAAGGAUGAGCCUGCACUUGAUUAGUUUGUUGGUGGGGUAAUGGCCUACCAAGACUGUGAUCUAUAGCUGAUCUGAGAGGAUGAUCAGCCACAUUGGGACUGAGACACGGCCCAAACUCCUACGGGAGGCAGCAGUAGGGAAUAUUGCACAAUGGAGGAAACUCUGAUGCAGCGAUGCCGCGUGAGUGAAGAAGGCCUUUGGGUUGUAAAGCUCUUUCGUCGGGGAAGAAAAUGACUGUACCCGAAUAAGAAGGUCCGGCUAACUUCGUGCCAGCAGCCGCGGUAAUACGAAGGGACCUAGCGUAGUUCGGAAUUACUGGGCUUAAAGAGUUCGUAGGUGGUUAAAAAAGUUGGUGGUGAAAUCCCAGAGCUUAACUCUGGAACUGCCAUCAAAACUUUUUAGCUAGAGUAUGAUAGAGGAAAGCAGAAUUUCUAGUGUAGAGGUGAAAUUCGUAGAUAUUAGAAAGAAUACCAAUUGCGAAGGCAGCUUUCUGGAUCAUUACUGACGCUGAGGAACGAAAGCAUGGGUAGCGAAGAGGAUUAGAUACCCUCGUAGUCCAUGCCGUAAACGAUGUGUGUUAGACGUUGGAAAUUUAUUUUCAGUGUCGCAGCGAAAGCAUUAAACACACCGCCUGGGGAG
rnacentral:rRNA from 1 species